GACGAACGCUGGCGGCGUGCUUAACACAUGCAAGUCGAACGAAGUGGCGAACGGGUGAGUAACGCGUAAUCAACCUGCCCUUCAGAGGGGGACAACAGUUGGAAACGACUGCUCAUACCGCAUACUGAAGGAGGGGAUUGCGUCUGAUUUGCUAGUUGGAGGGGUAACGGCCCACCAAGGCGAAGAUCAGUAGCCGGUCUGAGAGGUGGAACGGCCACAUUGGGACUGAGACACGGCCCAGGCUCCUACGGGAGGCAGCAGUGGGGAAUCUUCCGGAAUGGACGAAAGUCUGACGGAGCAACGCCGCGUGAGUGAUGGCGGCCUUCGGGUUGUAAAGCUCUGUUAGUCGGGGCGCGGUACCGGAAUAGAAAGCCACGGCUAACUACGUGCCAGCAGCCGCGGUAAUUC
rnacentral:rRNA from 1 species